rnacentral:rRNA from 1 species
UACGAAGGGAGCUAGCGUUGUUCGGAAUCACUGGGCGUAAAGCGCACGUAGGCGGACUUGUCAGUCAGGGGUGAAAUCCCGGGGCUCAACCUCGGAACUGCCUCUGAUACAGCAAGUCUUGAGUCCGGAAGAGGUGGGUGGAAUUCCUAGUGUAGAGGUGAAAUUCGUAGAUAUUAGGAAGAACACCGGUGGCGAAGGCGGCUCACUGGUCCGGUACUGACGCUGAGGUGCGAAAGCGUGGGGAGCAAACAGG